rnacentral:tRNA from 1 species
UGGCUCAGAUGGUAAAGCAUCUGCCUGUAGUGCAGGAGACCUGGGUUCGAUCCCUG